rnacentral:rRNA from 1 species
GACGAACGCUGGCGGCGUGCUUAACACAUGCAAGUCGAACGGAAAGGCCUGCUUUCCCUUGUGGAUUGCGGGUACUCGAGUGGCGAACGGGUGAGUAACACGUGAGUGAUCUGCCCCCAACUUGGGUAUAAGCCUGGGAAACUGGGUCUAAUUCCCGAUAGGACUGCAGGGUGGUGCCUGUGGUUGAAAACGAUUUUCUAGUGGUUGGGGAUGAGCUCGCGGCCUGUCAGCUUGUUGGUGGGGUAAUGGUCUACCAAUGCGGGGACUGGUAGCCGGCCUGGGGGGGUGGGCGGCAAAAUUGGGACUGAGAUAAGGCCCAGAAUAGUACGGGAGGCAGCAGCGGGGAAUAAUGCAUGAUGGGCGGAAGCCUGAUGCAGCGACGCCGAGUGGGGGAUGACGGCCUUCGGGUUGUAGACUCCUUUCGACCGAGAGGAAGCCACCUGGUUGGAAGGGUGGUGACGGUAGUGGUAGAAGAAGCACCGGCUAACUACGUG